GCCAGUAGAGCUGGAGCACGACAGGUUGUCAUCUUGCUUCGUGUUACUUGUCUGAGGCACACAAAAGACAUUGGCAGCCAUUGACGGUUGUUGGCUGUGACUAGCUGAUGGUCCAAACAGAAGCAGUCCCUGUUUAGGUUCACGGAACAAUUCAACCCGGAUCUUCUCAAUGAUUCAACAGCUUGCAUCGCAGGAUAACUACUUGUAUCAAAAUUGGUUAUUCAACCCACACUUCUAAAAGGAACCACCAACAGGAACAACGACAAUUUACUGUUCAAUUAUAGGAAAGCGUUGAAGAACGUUACAGAACAGCUCAUGAUGUAAAUACCUCAAAUUGUGGAAAGGGCAAAAAGCGG